rnacentral:rRNA from 1 species
UACGUAGGUGGCAAGCGUUGUCCGGAUUUACUGGGCGUAAAGGAUGUGUAGGCGGAUAUUUAAGUGAGAUGUGAAAUCCCCGGGCUUAACUUGGGGGCUGCAUUUCAAACUGGAUGUCUAGAGUGCAGGAGAGGAAAGCAGAAUUCCUAGUGUAGCGGUGAAAUGCGUAGAGAUUAGGAAGAAUACCGGUGGCGAAGGCGGCUUUCUGGACUGUAACUGACGCUGAGGCAUGAAAGCGUGGGGAGCAAACAGG